rnacentral:rRNA from 1 species
GGCUACACACGUGCUACAAUGGGUAGUACAGAGAGUCGCAAAGCCGUGAGGUGGAGCUAAUCUCAGAAAACUAUUCUUAGUUCGGAUUGUACUCUGCAACUCGAGUACAUGAAGUUGGAAUCGCUAGUAAUCGCGAAUCAGCAAUGUCACGGUGAAUACGUUCUCGGGUCUUGUACACACCGCCCGUCACACCACGAGAGUUGGUUGCACCUGAAGUAGCAGGCCUAACCGCAAGGAGGGAUGCUCCGAGGGUGUGAUUAGCGAUUGGGGUGAAGUCGUAACAAGGUAUCCGUACGGGAACGU